rnacentral:rRNA from 1 species
UGGCGGCGUGCCUCAGACAUGCAAGUCGAACGCGAAAGUUCCCUUCGGGGGGCGAGUAGAGUGGCGCACGGGUGAGUAACACGUAGGUAAUCUACCUUUGGGUGGGGAAUAACUCAGGGAAACUUGAGCUAAUACCGCAUAAUGCAGCGGCUCGACAUCGAGACAGUUGUUAAAGCGGGGGAUCGCAAGACCUCGCGCCUAAAGAGGAGCCUGCGGCGGAUUAGCUAGUUGGUGAGGUAAUGGCUCACCAAGGCAUCGAUCCGUAGCCGGCCUGAGAGGGCGGUCGGCCACACUGACACUGACAUACGGGUCAGACUCCUACGGGAGGCAGCAGUCGGGAAUUUUGGGCAAUGGGCGCAAGCCUGACCCAGCAACGCCGCGUGAAGGAUGAAAUCCCUCGGGAUGUAAACUUCGCAAGAACAGGAAGAAUAAGUGGGGGACAAUACCCCCCAUGAUGACGGUACUGUUUGUAAGCUCCGGCUAACUCCGUGCCAGCAGCCGCGGUAAAACGGGGGGAGCAAGCGUUGUUCGGAUUUACUGGGCGUAAAGGGCGCGUAGGCGAUCGUGACAAGUCACUUGUGAAAUCUCCGGGCUUAACUCGGAAAGGUCAAGUGAUACUGUCGGACUAGAGUGCAGAAGGGGCAACUGGAAUUCUCGGUGUAGCGGUGAAAUGCGUAGAUAUCGAGAGGAACACCUGCGGCGAAGGCGGGUUGCUGGGCUGACACUGACGCUGAGG